GACGAACGCUGGCGGCGUGCCUAAUACAUGCAAGUAGAACGCUGAAGCUUGGUGCUUGCCCCGAGCGGAUGAGUUGCGAACGGGUGAGUAACGCGUAGGUAACCUGCCUGGUAGCGGGGGAUAACUAUUGGAAACGAUAGCUAAUACCGCAUAAGAGUAGAUGUUGCAUGACAUUUGCUUAAAAGGUGCAAUUGCAUCACUACCAGAUGGACCUGCGUUGUAUUAGCUAGUUGGUGAGGUAACGGCUCACCAAGGCAACGAUACAUAGCCGACCUGAGAGGGUGAUCGGCCACACUGGGACUGAGACACGGCCCAGACUCCUACGGGAGGCAGCAGUAGGGAAUCUUCGGCAAUGGACGGAAGUCUGACCGAGCAACGCCGCGUGAGUGAAGAAGGUUGUCGGAUCGUAAAGCUCUGUUGUAAGAGAAGAACGAGUGUGAGAGUGGAAAGUUCACACUGUGACGGUAGCUUACCAGAAAGGGACGGCUAACUACGUG
rnacentral:rRNA from 1 species